AUUGAACGCUGGCGGCAUGCUUUACACAUGCAAGUCGGACGAGUGGCGGACGGGUGAGUAAUAUAUUGGAACGUAGCGAAUAAAGGGGGCUAACCAAUAGAAAGAUUGGCUAAUACCGCUUAUUAUUCUAGCGGCCGAUAGUGGAUUAGCUAGUUGGUGGGGUAAAGGCUUAUGAAGGCGACGAUCAGUAGCGGGUCUGAGAGGAUGAUCCGCCACACUGGGACUGAGACACGGCCCAGACUCCUACGGGAGGCAGCAGUGGGGAAUUUUGGGCAAUGGGCGCAAGCCUGAUCCAGCCAUGCCGCGUGUGUGAAGAAGGCCUUCGGGUUGUAAAGGACUUUUGUUAGGGAAGCGGUACCUAAAGAAUAAGCACCGGCUAACUACGUGCCAGCCGCCGCGGUAAUAC
rnacentral:rRNA from 1 species